UUAGUUAAAGAGAGUCUCACUGUGGCCAGAGCGACCAACUCAGUCCCGGAAUGUAAAAACCCGAUGAUUAAAUCGGGUUUUUUUA
rnacentral:antisense_RNA from 25 species